rnacentral:lncRNA from 1 species
CCACGCCCCGUCAGGGCCCGGCGUGUGAUGUUCCCCUCCCUGUGUCCCAUGUGUUCUCGCUGUUCAACUCCCACUUAGGAGCGAGAACAUGCGGUGUUUGGUUUUCGCUUCCUGUGUCAGUUUGCUGAGAAUGAGGCCUUCCAGCUUCAUCCACGUUCCCGCAGAGGUCAUGAACUCAUCCUUUUUUAUGGCUGCGUAGUAAUUCCAUGCUGUAUACGUGCCACACUUUCUUUAUCCAGCCUAUCAUUCAUGGGCAUUCGAGUUGGUUCCAAGUCUUUGCUAUUGUAAAUAGUGCUGCAGUAAACAUACGUGUCCACGUGUCUUCCUAGUAGGAACUUCUUCCUCUUCAGCCCGCUGAGUAGCUGGCACUUUAAGGCAGGUGCCAACGCACCGGCAGCAAGCUUCCUUUUUUGCCCGGGAAAAACUGAGGUGCAGGUAGUAUAAGCCAUUGAUCACGGAACGCACAGGAGCAGAGCUCGAGUCCAAGCAUCGUGGCUCCACCCGUCAUGCUGGAUGCAUCUUUAGGCUCCGCUCUAGGUAUGUGUAUCCUUUACGGGAUCAGCCACCGGCAGUUGCCUUGCGAGCACGAUGACAAACCUCUGCCGGCUCUUUUGGGUCUCAUCCCUGUAUCUAUACGUUGCAUCCCAACAUAAAGACCGGAAUGUUCCUUUCGCUGACCCAGUCUCUCACCCUUUCCAAACUCCAGAAAUCUUGUCUGUCCUCGGAAGAACUCCCCCUGCUUCUUUCUCUAAAGGCUGUCUUCAGGCCGGGCACAGUGGGAGGAUCGCUUGAGCCCAGAAGGCCGCAGUGAGGUGAGAUCGCGCCAUUGCACUGCAGCCCCCGGCGGCAGAGCCGGAGCCCCGUCUCGAAACAAACAAACAAAAACCAACCAACCAACCAACCAACCAACAAACAAACACAGACAAAGAAAGAAAGAGCCCAGGCAACCUAGUGAAAACCUGUUCGGGCUGGGGCAUACCUGUACCCCAGCUGUUCCGGAGGCUGAGGCCAGGAGGAUGGGUGGACGCUGGGAGGUGGAUGCUGCAGUGAGCAGUGAUUGCACCACUGCACUCCAGCCUGGGUGACAGAGCCAGACCCCGUCCCAAAUAAAUAAACAUAAAAAUAAAGGAACCAGUUUGUAGAAAGCGGGAGAGGGUCCCAUUGAACUUCAAGCCUUCGAGCAACAGCUGUGGCUGGACAGGUUGGACCAGCAGGCUGGAGCAGUCGCCAUCUUGGCAGGGAUCAUUGACCCUGAUCUAUCGUCGGGAGGAGGAAGAGCUGAUCUUACGCAGGGAGGGCAGGUGGACUAUGUGUGGACUCUGGUGACCUGUUUGGGUGCCAGGUGUUACUCCCAGGGCCACCCGUAACUGUGAAUGUGCAGGAACCCUGACUUGAGAAGGGCCUGGCCACGGGGGGCUUAGGCCCCUGGGGAAUGAGAGUUUGGUUCCCGGUACCCAGGGAAACCACCAGCAUCGGCAGAGGUGAUAGCUGAGGAGGAGCGGGGAUUUGGACGAGAGACACAGGAUGAGUACCGGGGGGCAGCCCCGUGAUCAACAACUGCUGCAAGAGGGGCCGUUUGUUCGACUCGCUAGUCUUCUGCGGCUCUAUGCGGUACUAAAGAGCAGAAGACAGAAGAUACAAAAACCACAAAAAGUAGCCGGGCGUGGUGCUGCCCGUCAAUAAUCCCAGCUACUCGGGAGGCUGAGACAGGAGAAUCGCUUGAACCCGGGAGGCGGAAGUUUCAGCGAGCCGAGAUCACGCCGUUGCAGUCCAACCUGAGCGUCCGAGCGAGACUCUAUCUCAGAAAAUAAAGACAGAAUGAAAGAGCCCGGCGCGGUGGCUUACGCCUGUAAUCCCAGCGCUUUGGGAGGCCGAGGCGGGCGGAUCGCCUGAGGUCAGGAGCUCGAGACCAGCCUGGCCGACAUGGCGAAACCCC